GGCGUAAGGGUGUGUAGGCGGCUUUAAAUAUCAUUAAAAUAAUUCUAAUUGAAUAAUGAAAGCUAGAAUCAAAUAGAGGUCACCGUGAGAGAACACUUAGUGUAGGGCUGAUAUCUGUAAAUACUUAGUGGAAUUCUAAUUAGCGAAGGCUCUUUUCCAAAUAAUGAUUGACGCUGAGACACGAAGGGGAGGAACGACAAUAGGAUUAGAUACCCUGGCAUCCCUCUCUGUCAACGAUGAAUGGUAGUUGCUAGUCUUAAAGAGUUAGUGGCGAUGUAAACACGUUAACCAUUCCGCCUUGUGAGUACAAUUGCAAAAUUGAAAACAAAAAAAUUAGUCGGUUUCGGAGCAAACGAAGUGAAGCAUGUUAUUUAAUUCGAUAAUCCGC
rnacentral:rRNA from 1 species